CACUCUUGUUUAUGGACAGUUCAAGAAUUUGAAGCCAAGAUUUGAUGCUGCAAAAAUUCAGAUAAAAGCCGAGAGGUAAAGGAGAAAAUGUGCAGAACAUCUCAGAAUUUCCUAUUCACAUUCCCUCAGAGAAAAAAAACAUCUUUAAGAAAGCUAGAUGUAUAAAGAAAAGGCAGGGAGCAGUGAGAUUACAUGGCUGCAAAUAAGGCCCAGAAUUUGUGACUCUGCUCUGUGGGCUCACAACAGUGUCUGCGGGAGAGAUCGCCUCACAAAACUGGCCACCCUCCAGUAAGUGUCAUGCACAGUGGCUUCUGGAUUCAGGCAGAAACAACAACCCAAAGGAUUACUGCUGCCCACACAGGAAGUUUUCCAGGCAGGGCAGUGCUUCCAUGUGAGUGCAAUCAGCUGCACUCCAGCAAGUCAAAACCCAGGAAACUCAAACAGAGGAGGAUGAGGAUGGAUGGGCUGCCUGACACCUAAUUGCUGUGAGGCAAGAAAAACAGCAGGACGGGGAGGACAGAAGAUGCAAGGUGACGCUGAAGUCAUGUUCUGCUGCUGGCCAUAAGAGUGAUUCACUGAACAGCGUGUCCCCUGUCAGAGGGAGGGAACAAUAAGCAGGAACAUUUGGCAUUCCAGUCCAUGAGAAGACCCAAGCCAACUGUCCUGCUCUGCUCACUCAGCUGCUGCAGGAAUCAACGACAGACAGUUCUAGGAAGAAAGGGAAAGGAAUGUAACUUGACUAAUAUGAACUUUUAUUUCCACUGCUGUGAUAAAGGGGAAAGGGGAUGCUGACUCUUGUCGUUUCGCCUGUAAUUGUUAUUGCAGACACGACUAUAUACAGGUACAGUAAUUUAAUACUCUCAAAUUCUAUUCUGAAGGUCAAAGUGUUCUAACAUGGUCAUAUUUUUGACUGUGACUUACAGCAGCAGAGUUUGGAAGUUCUCCUCAAGUCAGGAGAAGCUGCCAAAUGAAACCACACUUCAAUAGGUACAAAGUACCCUUUGGCAGAAUUCCAUCAAAUUGAAAUCCCCUCUCAUUACUGCAUAACCAUUUCUGGGUGAGAUAGCCAGUUCCAACCCUUCUCACCCAUGUCAAAACUCUACAUACUGGAUCAGACAUAUCUGUGAUUCCUAGUUUUCAUUUCUGCUUUCCUUUCCUAUUUCUCCAGCAGGUCAUUGUCCCAAUGUUGCUUCACAUUUCACCAGAACUUUUUGUUCAUUCACAUGGGUUUUGUAUUGGCCUCCAUGGAGCUGUUCUGUGUGUUUGUGUACAUAUGUAAGCACAGACACCUACUUAUUUAUGCAAGUAGGCAGCUAAAUCACCUUGGCCUCUCUUUGCACCUCACAGACAGCUCAAUAGCAGGACUGUCACUCUGCAAUCCACUAUUCCCAGUGGCAGAGAAUGACUUUAACAGUUAGGCACUUAGGGCAUAACUGCUGUGUUUGUGCAUGAGCCAGCUGACUGGCUGAUUCUUUUUAAAUGUCUUCACCAUCAAACUAUUCUAUUUUCCAUAAUCAACACAAAACCAGUUCAGUCAAAGCCUUAAAACGUAACACUGCCAUUUAACAUAGUGGAGUAAUGGUUUCUUACAAAAUACAAUUAGGCACAAGAUUCUAGAAACAAAUAAGAAAAAAACCCAAAAAUCUUAGGCACCCAUUUUUUCACUUUGAUAAGCCUUGUUUUAAAUGUGAGGGUGCUUGCCACUCAAAAUUUUCAAAGCUCAUCUUGCAUUUUGGCAAGAAGAAACAAUACUUAGACAUAGUCAACAAGGCUACUUUUCUCAUAUACUGAUAGAGCUGCUCCAAUCCUCCCAUUUUGCAGAGGAGCCAGUGAUGUGGGAGUCCUUAGGUUGGACUUUUGGUAGUGCUGAGCAGCUGAUGCUUCAUGGCAGAGCAAGGCUGUUUAAAAUUAGCCAUCCUGCUUUUAAUUUUGGGCUUUUGCCCUCUCCCCUAUGGCAAACCUGCAAAUGCACACACAGGGAUGUGCACCUGUAGGAGGCAAA